UACAGAGGGUGCAAGCGUUAAUCGGAAUUACUGGGCGUAAAGCGUGCGCAGACGGUCUCGUAAGUCGGGUGUGAAAUCCCCGGGCUCAACCUGGGAAUUGCAUUCGAAACUGCGAGGCUAGGGUACGGAAGAGGGAAGCGGAAUUUCUGGUGUAGCGGUGAAAUGCGUAGAUAUCAGAAGGAACAUCAGUGGCGAAAGCGGCUUCCUGGUCCAGUACCGACGUUCAGGCACGAAAGCGUGGGGAGCGAACAGG
rnacentral:rRNA from 1 species